rnacentral:rRNA from 1 species
GUGCAGCAGGCGCGAAAACUUCACACUGUGCGAAAGCACGAUGAGGGAAUCCCAAGUGCUUGCACGUAAGUGUAAGCUGUUUCUCUGUUUAAAACGCAGAGAGAGUAAGGGCUGGGUAAGACGGGUGCCAGCCGCCGCGGUAAUACCUGCAGCUCAAGUGGUGACCGUUAUUAUUGGGCCUAAAACGUCCGUAGCCGGUUUAAUAAAUGCCUGGGUAAAUCGUGUAGCUUAACUAUACGAAUUCCGGGUAGACUGUUAAACUCGAGACCGGGAGAAGUUAGAGGUACUCCUGGGGUAGAGGUGAAAUUCUGUAAUCCUAGGGGGACCACCAGUGGCGAAGGCGUCUAACUAGAACGGGUCUGACGGUGAGGGACGAAGCCCUGGGGCGCAAACGGGGAUUAGAUACCCGCGUAGU